rnacentral:rRNA from 2 species
UCGCUGACGAGUGGCGGACGGGUGAGUAAUGUCUGGGAAACUGCCUGAUGGAGGGGGAUAACUACUGGAAACGGUGGCUAAUACCGCAUAACGUCGCAAGACCAAAGAGGGGGACCUUCGGGCCUCUUGCCAUCAGAUGUGCCCAGAUGGGAUUAGCUUGUUGGUGAGGUAACGGCUCACCAAGGCGACGAUCCCUAGCUGGUCUGAGAGGAUGACCAGCCACACUGGAACUGAGACACGGUCCAGACUCCUACGGGAGGCAGCAGUGGGGAAUAUUGCACAAUGGGCGCAAGCCUGAUGCAGCCAUGCCGCGUGUAUGAAGAAGGCCUUCGGGUUGUAAAGUACUU